rnacentral:misc_RNA from 1 species
CGCACAUUGCGCCCGCCAGUAUUCUGGCGGGCAUGCCUGUUCGAGCGUCAUUACAACCCUCAGGAUCCCCCUUUAGGGGGCGGAGCCUGGCGUUGGGGAUCAGCGGCCACAAGCCGCUGGCCCUAAAAUACAGUGGCGGUCACGCUGUAGCUUCCUAUGCGUAGUAAUUUACACCUCGCACCUGGGACUCUGCGCGGCCACGCCGUAAAACCCCCAAUUUUUUAAGGUUGACCUCGGAUCAGGUAGGGAUACCCGCUGAACUUAA